CGCGUACCCAUCCCGAACACGACCGUUAAGCCCUCCAGCGCCGAUGGUACUUGGACCGAAGGGUCCUGGGAGAGUAGGACGUUGCCAAGC
rnacentral:rRNA from 1 species